UUUUUAUCUCAUAAUAGAUUUUUAUGAUUAUUUCAAAAAAAAUUCAUUUAUAUCAAGCAUCACAAUUUGAUAUUAACCAUCAUUUGCUCCACCUUACCUACAUAUGGUGAUUUGACUAAAAACUUAUUUAAAAACGUUGGCCGCCUAAUCAGAAAAAAUUCUGGGAAGCCUUGCGAAGGUUUUUACUUAAGGCAGAGGAUCGCAAUAGCCAUUCUUAAGGCUAAUUAUGUUUGUUUUAUCAAUUCGAUCUCUCCUGAUGAUUAGGUGAAGGAGGUUUUGAAUAAUUUUGCUGCUUUCGCUUUUAUUUAUUCUGUAUUUUACAUUAUUUUAUGGUCUAUGACUCAAUAUUGUCCUUUUGUCAUUAUUAUUUUUUUUUUCGUAAUCGUUUACUAAUUAUACUAAUUAUAUAUUUUUCAUUUUAUAAAUUAUACAAUUAUAAAUUAAUUACAUGAUUUUAUAUUGCAUCAAUUUUAAUAUGUAUAUAAUAAUCCGCGUAAGAAUUAUCUUUUUUCCUUUCUUAUCUCCAAUUCGUCCUCCUUUAUAUAUCAUCUAAAAUAAAAUACAAUGUUAAUCAUUUUAAGUUAGUGUCUUUUAAAUUCCAAUUAAUAUAUUUUUUGGAAAUAAUAAAUAUAACAAAUCUUAUUUUCUUAUUCGAGUUAUUUUAAAUAUGUAUCAAAGAUUUAUAUUUAUUAUUGGCUUAAAUAAAAUUAAAUAUAAUUAUUAAAUAUAUCCAGUAAUUUAAUUUUAUUAGCGUUUAUAUUAUAAUACCUCAUUUUAGCUAAACUAAAUUAGUUACGAAUUUAGUGAACUAAAAAAUUUGAUUGUCCAAGCAUGCCAAACUAAUUUAGAAUUUUGCAUCCAAUAAUUUUUCUUAAAAAGUAGAACCAUAUUUAUAUCCCGCUAUUGCUUUAAUAUAAUAAAUUAUUAUUUUAAAAAAUUGCAACCACAUUUAUAUCUUCCUAUUGGGGGGAGAAGGCGAAAAUCAAUCCAGCCAUUUUUCAUGGAAGAUAUUUUUACUAGUAUUUAUAUAAUUAUAUUUGGUUUAAUGUCAUAAUAUCUUUACAGGAUAUAUUGAAUAUAAAAUGCACUACUAAAUCUAAUGGAAACAUUAAUAAAAAUAUGAAAAUGUCUCCGGUUAUAAAAUUCAUUAAAUUGAGAAUUAUACUUUUUGUUAUUUUAAUAGAUAGCACUUCAGUUUUUUUUAUCCUAUCAGUAUUUUUCAUCCAAUUUAUCAACAAAUAUUGAUGACUUCCUAAUCUUCUAUUUUAAAAUUUAUCAUUUAAUUAUUGAUAUUGUAAAAUAUAUAGCUGUCCUGUUAA